ACGCUCGACACCUACGGGAAGCAGCAGUGGGGAAUAUUGCACAAUGGGGGAAACCCUGAUGCAGCGACGCCGCGUGAGCGAAGAAGUAUUUCGGUAUGUAAAGCUCUAUCAGCAGGGAAGAAAAUGACGGUACCUGACUAAGAAGCCCCGGCUAACUACGCGCCAGCAGCCGCGGUAAUCUGAGCGGGCUGGCAAGGC
rnacentral:rRNA from 1 species